UCAUAGGACCAAGGACUCUCCUUCCAUUU
rnacentral:piRNA from 1 species